rnacentral:rRNA from 1 species
UACGUAGGGUGCGAGCGUUAAUCAGAAUUACUGGGCGUAAAGCGUGCGCAGGCGGUUUGCUAAGACAGGUGUGAAAUCCCCGGGCUUAACCUGGGAACUGCGCUUGUGACUGGCAGGCUAGAGUACGGUAGAGGGGGGUGGAAUUCCUGGUGUAGCAGUGAAAUGCGUAGAUAUCAGGAGGAACACCGAUGGCGAAGGCAGCCCCCUGGGCCUGUACUGACGCUCAUGCACGAAAGCGUGGGGAGCAAACAGGAUUAGAUA